CGGGAGGACGCGGACAUGGCGGCUAGCAGCUCUUCCGGCCUCGCGCAGGGCGCCAGCCCGUCGUCCAGGAUGAAGAGCACUGUCAGCCUGGCCCUGGCACCUACCAGCCAGCCGCCUGCACCUAGAGGAGGAGUCACAGUGGGGUACAGCUGCUCCCAGCCCCACCCCAGCCAGGGCCCCACAUCCAACAGCCGGUCCCGGGGUCCUGUGCCUACCACAGCAUCCACCCACCAGGAGGAUGGUCACAGCUGCCGAGAGAAGGCGACCAAGAGCCGCACAGACUCACGGGAGCGGCCAGCCAGGUCGCUCUCCCGGCCAGGACCAAGCUCCCGCAGCCCCGACUCGGACUCGGUGUCGCCGGACUCGUGGGGUGGCCCGGUCCUAGGACCCUGGGACCCCACCUUUACCAGCGACGCGCUGCCGUUCCUGGACAGGCUGCCGAAGCCCAAGGCGGGCCCCAGGCCGCCCUCCAUGCACUACUGCGAAGUUUGCAGGGUCAGCUGCGCGGGGCCGCAGACCUAUCGGGACCACCUGGAAGGGCAGAAGCA
rnacentral:lncRNA from 1 species